UAAAAAAAAAGGGAAGAACAGAGAUAAUAAUUGUUCAUGUUCCACUAUCAAUUCUUGUGUUCCCAUAAUGUCCUGAAUGGAUGUUCACCGAAGCCACAGCAUCAGGCUGCCCUAGCACAAAAGUAGAGUUACAGAGUCCCAGACAUCUACAACUGAGCUCUGGGACUCACAAGACCAUCCAGAACCACUCCUAGAAACUAAACUGUUACAAUCCUAAGAGGAAUUGCCCAGUUAUGAGAAGAGACCAGAUAGAAGCCUUAGAAAAGCAGGAUCUGGCCUCGGUGUUGGAAGU
rnacentral:lncRNA from 1 species